rnacentral:rRNA from 1 species
CCUACGGGGGGCAGCAGUGGGGGAUAUUGCACAAUGGGGGAAACCCUGAUGCAGCGACGCCGCGUGGGCGAAGAAGUAUUUCGGUAUGUAAAGCCCUAUCAGCAGGGAAGAAGAAAUGACGGUACCCGAGUAAGAAGCACCGGCUAAAUACGUGCCAGCAGCCGCGGUAAUACGUAGGGUGCAAGCGUUAUCCGGAUUUACUGGGGGGAAAGGGAGGGCAGGCGGCACGGCAAGCCUGAUGUGAAAGCCCGCGGCCCAACCGCGGGACUGCAUUGGGAACUACCGGGCUGGAGUGCCGGAGAGGUAGGCGGAAUUCCUAGUGUAGCGGUGAAAUGCGUAGAUAUUAGGAGGAACACCAGUGGCGAAGGCGGACUACUGGACGGUGACUGACGCUGAGGCUCGAAAGCGUGGGGAGCAAACAGGAUUAGAUACCCGAGUAGUC